UUGCUGCUGGAGUCUACAUCAUCGUGGUUAAAUCAACGCUUUUUCCACAAUCCUUUCGCAAACCUAAUCCAAUAUUACUUUGCUUUUACGAGUUUCUCACGACAACGUUCUUCCUGGAGUUCUCGAUUGCCUGCAUCUGGACACCCAUCGAUGUUCUCAUGCUAACCUCUCUACCCAAGGCCAUUUGCCACGUAACGUAACGAUCUCCCGUUCAUUCCGUUGAUCGCAUUUGUUGCGAUAACAAUUAAAAGACUUCGCUUACCUUUGUACGCGCUUGUGUAAGCGUGAUCUCUCUCUCGCUUUUUAUAUUUUAUUCUCAUGCUCUCUCAUAAGAUUCCUCGAUAAUAGACUCUUCAAGAUUAUGGAUUUAACGAGGCCGCCGAAACCUUCGUAGCUAACAAAUCGUCUAUGGCAGCGCUUAGUUACGGAACUGCAACGACCUUCUUCUUACUUGCAUUGCACGUUACUAAAACGGUCGACUACACGAUACUUACAGACUGUGGAUUUACUUGCUUUGGUUCUUAUUUGAAAAAUAAACUGUGGCAGCAAAUACAGAGCGAACUUCCGAAAACAAAGCAAAUUAAAAAGUGUUCGUGUAAAUCUCGAAGGAAAAAUC